ACAAAAUCCGGUAAGCUGCUCUGUGUGUCUGCUUCGUUGUUUUUGUUUUGGGAGUUUGUCGGUGUGAGAAACAGCGAUUUCAAGAGUAAAUUAGGUUUACUUGACGGUUUCACAUGCAGAACAAAAAGACCAAGGUGACCUCCAAAGCUAAAGGCGCCAUGGGAUAGUGAGAGUGGACCAGGUGCCUCUUGCUUGCAAGUUGGUUGAUCUUCCCUGUAUUCUUGAGUCUCUAAAAACUGUGGAUGAGAAAACAUUUUAUAAAACUGCUGAUGUUUGUCAGCAGAUGCUGGUGUGUACUGUGGAUGGAGAUCUCUGUCCCCCUCUGGAGGAGCCAACGGGUAUUACAGACCCCAAGAACAAGAAGAAAGACAGUCGUAGUUUGUCAGGAAUCAUGGCAUAUAUUGAGUCCCCAGACAUGGAGAAGGAGGUGAAGAGGUUGCUGAGUACAGAUUCUGAAGCUGUCAGUGUUCGGUGGGAGGUGAUAGCUGAGGAUGAGACAAGAGGCAGAUAACGAUGGCUCUCUGGGUAACCUGGACACCUCUCCCAGGACAUCAGGGCACAAGCUGAGCCAUGGCUCCUCAGUGGAGAGGGAUGAGCUGCGGGAAAUCUUCAACGACAUCAGCAGCAGCAACAAGGAUGAGAAGGAUGAAGGAGACCGGCAAUAGGAGGAUGAAGAUGUCAAUAUUAUGGACACCGAGGAGGAUCUGGAGCGGAAGCUGAACGAGUCAGACGGGGCGCGGGACGAGAGUGAGGGAAACAACCAGAUAGUUUGAGUUUCAGGUGCAGAUUAACAAUGUAAAAAACAAGCUUCAAGAAACACAAGAUAGAAGCAGCAAGAAGAUCUGAUCAUGAAGGUGGAGAACCUGGCGCUCAAGGUGAAAUUCCACUUCCAGACCCUGAAAUGCGGUUUUGAGCGGACAGUGAUCGAUGACAGUCACCAUGGAGAUCAUUGUGGGGAAGAUGUUUAAGAUGGAGAUCUGGGAGCCCCUGCUCACCUCCAUGAGAAUCGGAGAGGUGGCUGAGUUCUGGUGCGACAGCAUGGAGAAUCCUGGGCACGAGGACUGGGUGAAGCAGGAAAAUCUAAUCACCCCCCUGGUUUUGAAUUACAGCCAGUGUAUGCUGGAGCUGGAGGAGUACUACGAGGUCCUUUAGCACACCAAUGAGCUGAUCGGCAAGCACAAAGGUACACAGUCACAGUGCAAACAGCAUUGCAUUUUAGCGACAGGUUAACUGCAUUUGAAUGGUUUUAUAGCGAUCUUAGAUUACAAGGUACAAUGUAGAUGGAGUCUAACUACACUACUGUCAUUUGUACCAAUUUGUUGCAUUGACACUGUAGUUAAGCUGCCAUUGGUUUUCAUGUGGAGCUGCUGACACACAACUCUGUCAGGACGUAUUGUUCAUAUUGAAGUAAACAGUGCUUCAUAGUUUUCCUUUUUGUGAAUUGUUUCGAGUUCUCCAAUGUUGAGAUUUUGUAAUCAAUUUUCUGUUUUUCUGUAUCAAUCUAACUGGAUUCCAUCUUGCUUGUAGGCCUGUGUAGUUUUGCUCUGUUUUUUUAUCUUCUAACUUCUUUUAGAAUCAUAUCAAAGCUUUCUAAUGCUUUUCUCAGUUACAGGGGAAUCCAUCAAGCACUAGGCUUCAACUGGUGUACAUAUGUUGAAAUUUCUCAAACAUGCUGCGAUUGAUAGAUGGAGGAUUCCUUUAAAGGAGCACAGCAGAUAGACAGUACACCCUGCUCCUUCAAUCUUGCUUUGCGAAUUUGUAAUAUAGCGAGCAUUUUAUCUGAUUGAAACCUUAAUGAGAAUUGCACUCGAAGUCUGCACAAUGUUGCAGAUUCAUUCUCUUAUCUAUCAAUCUCAGAGAACCUCUCGUGAUUCUCUUUGGUUUUCUAAUUCAACCCCCCUGCAUCUCUCAGUCACGCUCAGUAUCUUUUCCACCUUUCUCUUGUUUGUGUCUUUCGGGCUAUUACGUUCAAUAUCGUUCCUGUAUCCUGUCUCACACUCUGUAUCCAUCUCAGUUGGUUUUGAUUGUGCUCAUUUAUUGAUGGGCUUUACAGACGUUAAGUCGAGCGCACACAAAAUGAGACAUUUUAAAAAAAAAAAAAAAAAAAAAAAAAAAAAAAAAUCCAAAACAGAAAAAAAACUGCUGAUAAGUGUUGCGGUAGCAAAUAAGAUGUCAGGUGCAAUUUAUAUAAACAUUGAGUUUCUGAGAAGGUGAUGUGAUUCCCUCUCUACAGUGCAACAUCUCAUUUAUAGGGACCGCGAUGCAGUGCUAAAGCCUGCAUAAAGUUACUGACUACACAUGAUUUAUCAAGUUGUGCUUGAUUUUAGUGUGAUUUACCAUUAAAAAUGGAAUAUACUGAAAGAAAAUAUAAAAAUGUAAUGACAAAGAUUUUUGUUUAUUAUUAUUGAAGAUGUCUAGUAAAAACAUUUCAGGUUAGUAUUUCUAAAUAUGUUAUGACAAACGGUGUGAUAAGUAGGAUAAGAUAAACCCUGAUUUCCAACAAUGUGUUCAAAUAAACCCUGAAAAAGCCUGAUACUAAACAGCAGAAUUGAACUUUAAAAUAUUUGUGUACCAUAACAAAAGAAGUCAUCCCUACCAUAAUUCCCAGCACACAAAUAUAUACGUGUAUUUUUAAUCAAUUGUUCUUCUCUAGUCUGCUUUCCCUCCCCAGACAAUGUGAAGGCCUAUUACAAACGUGCGAAGGCUCACGCAGCAGUGUGGAAUGAGGCUGAGGCACGGCAGGACUUCCUCACUGCUGCCAACCAGGACCCAUCGCUGGCCCCUGCUGUAUGCAAGGAGCCGAGAUUGCUGGGGGAGAGAAUGAGGACCAAGUACAGCAAGGAGAAGACGACCUACUGGGGCAUCUUGGAGGACAAAGGAGGGGAGGCCAGGAAGAGAGAGACAGUGGAAUAUGGAGGACAGCAGUGUGGCAGAUUAAAAAAGGGACACCAAUAAGAUAACAGCGGCGGGGGAAGAGCUGGCUUCGAGUUCCAGUCAGACCUCAAGCAAAGAAGGGAAGGGCAAGGAGCAGAUGCUCAGGCUGGUUCCCUUUCUGAACAGCGAGGGGAACUAUUUGCUCACAGAGCAACUUUACAGGAGAAGCAUGAUGAGGAGGUCGCUGGAGAAUCUCCUCUGCCCCACAGUGCUGAAUUACUGCCAGUGUGUGCUGAAGCUGAAGGAGUACAAUAAAGUCUUGGAACACACCACUGAGCUGAUCAGGAAACACAAAGACAACGUGAAGGCCCAUUACAGGCGCGGAAAAUCUCACGCCGCAUUGUUCAAUGAUAAAGAGGGAUGGAGUCCAUGUUUGGCCCCACCGUGCGGAAAGAUCUGAAAAUCAUGGUGGAAGCCAUGAGAGCCAAGCUCCGCAACCAGAUGAAAAGCUACUGGAGCAGCAUCAAGGACAGGCACAAGCAAAGAGGAGAGACCAAGGGAGCAGAGAGACAGAGGGAUAUAGUAGGGGCGAGGGUCGCCAAAGAGAAAGGAACAAAUAUGAAAGAGGAGAAUGGUGUGAAUAAAGGGAUAGGUACAGAGAAGACUGGUGAGAGUACAUCAGUAGAAAACAAUGGGAACAGAGCUACAGAAACUGUGAGGCAACACAGGAGCAGUAACAGAAGAGGUAUAGUUGAGACAGGUAUAGUUUAGACGAAUGAGAUCACAGGGACAGAUAUAGCUGAAUCUAAAGAGACGAAUGAAAAUACAAGUAAUGAGUGGACCAAUGAGAUUGUAAGGGCAGGCAUGGAGGUUGCAAACACAUAUACAUGUAUAAAGAAAGAGGCCAGUGAGAAUAAUGCAACAGUCACAGGUAAGGAGUGGACCAAUGAGAAUGCCAGGGCAGGUAUAGAUGAGUCCAAAGGUACAAGUGAGUGUACGGGUAAGAACGUAGCAGCAACAACAGAGCAGUCAAAUGGAACCAAUCAGAAUAAAGAAGCAGGUAAAUCAGUGGCCAGUGAGAAGAUCGGACAGGGCAUUUCUGCAGAAAAUGUUGACGUUGCUGUUAAAGGAGCCAAAUAGAAUGGCAGACUGAGUGAAGGAUAGCCAAUCAGAGUGCAGUGCAGGUGUAAGGCCCGGAUCAAUUGAUUUAAUGUAAAGGUGUUCUUUACCAGUAUGGAUGGUGUGCAGUGCUGUAUGUUGCUGAUAAACUGCAAACAGAACCGAAACUUGCCAAUAAAAAGAGACACAAAAGCAGGUAAUUAUAACAAAUACAAAUUUAUUUCUGUACACAAUAUAAGUAGAAAGCAAGCCAGUACCCUGUUAAUUAAAAGGUCAGCUUUUCACUGUCAUUGCUUUAUACAAAUUUCAACAAAAACUGUUAAAGAAGCCGUGGAAAGCAAUGUGUACGUUAGGAUCUAGGUGGAAAAAUAAUCUAGGUUGUUGCUGGUUGGAAAAGAAUUUGACCGCCCAUUAAAAAAAUAAUAAUGCAUAUAUAACUAUAUAUGUCAAAUAUAACUGCAUUUAUCAUUAAAGGCUGGCACAUACAGUAUUUUUUUUAAGGCAGCACUGCAAGAUAUGGUUUUCAAUUGGUUACAGUUAUUAGUAUCCUGUUAUAUUUCCAGACAAACAUCCACUAACUCAUUUAACGAUACCUCCUUAAAUCCCUUCCUGUGCUCACCAUGUAUCUAGGGAGUGUAACCAGAAAACACACAUAUAUAUGGAACCACAGAGCAGGGAAGUCUUUUAACUCAUUGUCUCCACUGCUUGGCAUUAAAAUGAUCACAAUAAUACAUAAACAACUUAUACAUGUAAUUAAAUAAAUAAAUAAAUAAGCAUGAUAAGGGUAAAAGUGUAUCAAAUAUUUGUAAUUUUGUUUCACUGUGCUUAAUCAAUUCAUAUUAAGAGAAGAAUCUUUGUUAGUACGUGUCUAAAAUGAAAUCCCCAUGUGAACACUGUUGCUGUCCCUAUAGCAACACCACUUUGUAUUAAGGGGUCUAUUUGAUCAAUUUGUACUCUGCCGUGAUAAGCCACUAUUUGUAUUGAAUACUGCGAAGUCAUAAUCUGGAAAUGUAGUAAAUCAGGCCUUUAUGGGUACUGUUUAUAAUCAUUUCUAGCACUCUCUCAAUAAACGCAUGCUAAAAUUUGGUUCAUUUGCCCUUCAGUUCAUGACAGUUUUACAUUUGUCGGGUUAGGGAAGGUGUUUAGGCUCCUAUAUUCCCCACAACUCCUCAAUUUAGCAUCACUUCACGUAAAAUCUAAAACCCAAGGCUCUCAAAAAUCUCAACAGUCCUGCUGCACCCACUUUCCAGGCCCCUCCACUUUCAUUUCCUAGUCAUAUAAUGACUGCAUGAACCAUCCACCAACAAACACUUAUAAACCACUCCAGAAAGCUUUCUAACACAGUACAGUACUUCAUACCAAGCUCAUGACUAAUGCAACUCACCCAGCUUGGUCUGAUUUAAACUACAGCCAUUUACUGUAUAGUUAUUGGAACGUCUCAGGAAAAAUACUGCAUGAUAUGAUAAUGAAUACUUGCAGAUAGUUUACUUUAUUCAUAUUAUGGAGACUUCAACAUACCCCUUAACUGCAUAGUUCACAGACGAUGUUUGCAGCACAUUAGUAUAGAUUAUCAUAACAUACAUUUGAUUAUCAUAAAAUGAGUUUGCUCAAAGUUUUGCAUUAUCACCUGUCUAGUUGUACCCUUUUUUAUUACAAAUAUGCAACUUCUCAUUGAUGAACACAGCCAGUCCAACUUCCAAAGCUUUUUUCUUUCAUUUUUUUUUUUUUUUUUUAAUCAUCUUGUUUUAAGCCAGUCCUGGACAUUAGCUAGUUUUGUUUUUAAUCUGGCAGCUUCACAUUGUCAGUCCCACUGCGUGAUUCCCUGUAACUAAUAUAGUGCUUCCUCUGAUUUCUCAUGACUAAGGCUAUAUUUUCAUGGUUAUUAAGGAUUUCACAAUAUGUAGUUUCCCUCGUGAAAAUUCAAAUAUCUGAAAUGUGUAAAAUGUACAUAUUUUUCAUCACUUAAAUAAAUACAGCAAACGUUUGGACACUACUUCUUACACUGUAUUUAGGAACCUGGCUGCCGGUUUAGUUUGCAUCCGGUAAAUGAUUAAACACACAUGGCAUUGAGCUGCGCGAUUUCUUUAAAAUGUCUUCAACGAAAUAGACGCCAGCUGCAUCAAAGAUCGGAAAUAAUUCUGUUAAAGAUCACUCUGUCUAGUUCAAGAACAAGAUAUUUCACGCCUCUGUUGCGAUUUUUACAUGUAUUUAUUUUCAGGUAAGCAUUUAAAUAUUUAAGAACAUUUGUAUAAUAACGCUGUUUU